GUAAUACUCCCUCCGUCCCAAAAUUCUUGUCUUAGAUUUGUCAUGAUACAGAUGUACCUAAUACUAAAACGUGACUUGAUACAUCCGUAUUUAGACAAAUUUAAGACAAGAAUUUUGGGACGGAGGGAGUACUUC
rfam:Triticum aestivum genome assembly, contig: Triticum_aestivum_CS42_TGACv1_scaffold_065475_1DL